CAAACAGCCUACCCGUGCGACGACGGUGUGUGUGGUUUUUUUUUCGCCACAUCACAAAUCGUUUUUAACUGUGGUCCAAAGUUCAGAGUGGCGCGUUUGAUUACUCUCUGCCUUCUUGACCAUCGUCGGUGUCGGCGAUAAUGGAGACCCACAAUCUUCUUUAAUGCAGAGUCAUCUACAGCGCGACACCACUCGUCAGUAAAGAACCCUGGACCCGGUGGAGGAGCGCUCUAUUCUUGCACCAACUGUGUGUGGCGGCGUGUGUGUUGUGCGGACAAGAAACAAAUCACAGGCGCAGAAACUACUGUUAAGCUGUGCAGCGUAACCAAUUAAACGGGAUACAUUACUUGUGUGUGUGUUACGAUAAUGGCCAAAUCCAAGUCCAACGAUGGCUAUCAGCGCGGUGUUUACGGUGCACUGCGUACGCUGAUGCACUUCAUCGUGGCGGUUCAAUUUUCGUACGGAGUUUACUACGAUUUUACGUACGUUCACUUCCCACCGGGUAUGCUCCGGCCGGGUGGUGAGUUUGGUGGCAAGCUAAAAUUUCUCACUGUCUGGGAUGCGAUUCUGCAAGCCGUUUACUUCACAAUUUGUCUGCUAAAUGAUUUCAUCGGCACGAAUGAGGUAGCCCCGAAGCGGAUGCCACUCAUCCGCAAGGUGAAAGACUACAUGCUGGCAGCGUUCGCGUUCCCGGUAGCGCUUAACGUUGGCGUUACCUUCUGGACGCUGAUGGCAAUCGACCGGGAGCUCGUAUUCCCCAAGGUGCUGGAUGCUGUGUUCCCAGGCUGGCUUAACCACGUUAUGCAUACCAACAUUGUCAUCUUCAUGGUGAUAGAAAUCUGCACCAGCUUCCGGCAGUACCCAACGCGCAAGGCCGGUUUAACCGGGCUGGGCAUUUUCAUGGCCUCGUACCUCGGGUGGCUGCACGUGGUGCGACACUAUGGCGGCAUCUGGGUUUACCCGGUGCUGGAAGUGCUCAACUUUCCCCAGCGUCUCGUGUUCUUCGCCGUCAGCCUUGGGUUUAGCGUCGGUCUGUACCUGCUCGGAGAGUUCUUUAACAAUCUGAUCUGGACGAAAGAGCUGAAACAGUUACGGGCGGCCACUGGUGCCGGCGGUGCUAGUAAGAAGACCAAAUAGACGACGACCUGCGGGUGUCGUGCGAUACGUUAUUUGGCAUUUGUUUUAUGAACUCCCCCGCCCCGCCGUUUACGCUACUGCAUGCUGAUGCCGCGAGCAGAAAGCCCCUCAUCAUCAUCGUCGGGGUGUAGCUCUUUUCGUUUUUAACUUAAAACAGCAUCACGUGUGUUCGUUUCAUUCAGUUGUGAGCGUUUUUUGUUGUUUUUUUUUUUGUUUAACGAAAAAUCAGCCAUUCUUAUUUUAAAAACCACUCCGGAUCAAAGGAAGUGUGGCUUCUCUACAUCCCGGGUUUAGCGAUUACUAACAGUUUCGUACACGUGCUCUUAGAACAGUAACUAGGAUGCUCGUCAUACAGUCUCGAAGCGUCCCAACCAACGGUCGACGAUGAAAUGUCCACCAAGCUUCAUACGAUUAACAUUGUGUGACGAGCGUGACAGGGCAGAGGGACAAAGUUUUGCUUUCGAGGCAUCGUUGAGCGUCAAUGUUAAAAAGAAAAAGAGCACUUUUACUGGAAUUAGGAGAGAACCGAUUAAAAUGCGGCAUGGUUAAUUAUAUGGUUGGGAUGCUUCCCUUGCUACCAUUUAGCUGGAUACCUUCUGGUGAUCCUGUCUUACAUUCGGGGAGCCGAGAGAAGAAAGUUUUGGCCGCAGCAGUACCAGUCGAAGAUAUUUUCCCAUCAGCUGUGAAGAUCUUGAAUACAGCAAAAGGCUCAUGUAAGGUUCCGGUGUACGGUAAGAUCUAUUCGAGAAAUAGAGCGUUCGUGGCCUAGCUUUUCAUUGUUCAGCAGUUUGUUUCUCUUCGAUUCGCGAUAUAACAGAAGAGUUUUCGUCAACCAUCUUCCCUGAAUAAUCAUAAUAAUCAUCAUGAAUUUUCCCAUUGCGCUUCCAAUAUUUGGCGGGCAUGGUGAAAAAUUUGCAAAAUUUGAAUUUAAAGCAGAAGGGAAGUGGUAAUUCCCUGUACCAAGGGCUAACUGGAUUGUAAACUGGAGGCCGCCGGGUUUCAUACGGCAGGACAGGACCCAUCCAGACCGUCUCCAGGACUUGUGGCUUAUCCAGCUUUUACGGGUGAAAUCAAGUCAUCACAGAAAGUUUGAAAUUUUUGAACUGGCUGCGACCUCUCGAGGUUGUACUGGUUUGACUGAUAGUCAAACUGCUGGGAGCCCUGGGUAACAUUCGGUGUUCGGGUCAUUUCCUCACAAUCAGUCUUUCCCAGUGUUAUUCAAGCGCAAUUCCUAAAAUCCCUUCUGCGAACUUACAUUACACCACGAUCAAGCCAAGUCCCACUCAACGUUGUGCUAAUUUUGUUACCUUGAUCAUUAGAGCCGUGUGAGAUGGUGUUUAUAGGGAUAGUACAUAAGCCAAAAUAAAGCAUAUACAUGUGUAGUGCAUUUUACACAUCCUUAGUAUAAUUGUAUUUAAAUCGCAAUUCAAACCCACAUUGGCAGCAGAGUGUUCCAAGGUGUCAGGGGACUUUCGUAAGGACGUAGAGCGAUUUUCAUUCGCGUAAAGCAAAACUUGAUCGUCCAUUCUUCAGCCGUACUUUGCAGCUACUUACACUGCUCUCAUCGAUGUAUUUUUGUUGUUUCUAGACGUUAAAUGAGAAGCGGACACGCAGGAGAGGAGCACGGAUUAGCUCGAUUUAGCAAAUUUAGAUUUGACCAAUUUAAAUGUGAAUAAAUUUUGCACUCGUUUUGUAUGUGUUAGUGGACACCAAAAAAAAAAGGGAAUCACAUCACAUUUGGCUCGCCGUUAGAAUCAUCCCCUUACACCUGGAACUGUUCGAUUUCCGGUCCUACAUCAUCACCAUAACCACAUUGGCGACCGGACUACUUCGUAGCGUGUGCACGUGUGUAAUAUUACGCUAGACGGACCAUUAUUUACACAAUCGUUCUUAUAUAGCGCGAACCAAAUUAUAGGGGGCAGCCGAUAGUUCAGGUUUUUUGAAAGCCCUUCCUUCUUCCGGUGCCGGUGCGCUAUUUGUUCUUUGCUGGCACUCUGUAGUACCAAUUUAGAUGUUGCGUGUGCGUGAUAGGUGUACCAGUCGUAGAUAGCAAAAAAAACGGGGGGAGGUUAGAGGAAUAUUAAAGGAAGAAACGUUCAAUUUUUAAUCUCUUAAACGCGUGGAGUGCUGCAACGUGGACGAGUUUGGAAGCGCCAGUGGAAGAGCAAGGCGGGAUGUCACUUUACAAGAUUCAUCAUUCGAUCUGUGCUUAUUAUAUAAAUGAUAAUAAAAUGAGAUAGUAACGAA